CGAAUCCCAUCCUCGUCGAACAUUA
rnacentral:sRNA from 1 species